rnacentral:rRNA from 1 species
AACGAACGCUGGCGGCAGGCCUAACACAUGCAAGUCGAGCGAGGACUUCGGUCCUAGCGGCGGACGGGUGAGUAACGCGUGGGAACGUGCCCUUUGCUUCGGAAUAGCCCUGGGAAACUGGGAGUAAUACCGGAUGAGCCCUUUGGGGGAAAGAUUUAUCGGCGAAGGAUCGGCCCGCGUUGGAUUAGGUAGUUGGUGGGGUAAUGGCUUACCAAGCCGACGAUCCAUAGCUGGUUUGAGAGGAUGAUCAGCCACACUGGGACUGAGACACGGCCCAGACUCCUACGGGAUGCAGCAGUGGGGAAUCUUAGACAAUGGGGGAAACCCUGAUCUAGCCAUGCCGCGUGAGCGAUGAAGGCCUUAGAGUUGUAAAGCUCUUUCACCUGGGAAGAUAAUGACGGUACCAACAGAAGAAGCCCCGGCUAACUCCGUG